CCUACGGGAGGCAGCAGUGGGGAAUAUUGCACAAUGGGGGAAACCCUGAUGCAGCGACGCCGCGUGAGUGAAGAAGUAUUUCGGUAUGUAAAGCUCUAUCAGCAGGGAAGAAACUGACGGUACCUGACUACGAAGCCCCGGCUAACGACGUGCCAGCAGCCGCGGUAAUACUGAGGGGGGAAGCGUUAACCGGAUUUAAUGGGUGUAAAGGGAGCGUAAACGGCAAGACAAGUCAGAAGGGAAAGCCCAGGGCUCAACCCUGGGACUGCGUUUGAAACUGCCGGGCUGGAGUGCAGGAGAGGUAAGCGGAAUUCCUAGUGUAGCGGUGAAAUGCGUAGAUAUUAGGAGGAACACCAGUGGCGAAGGCGGCUUACUGGACUGUAACUGACGUUGAGGCUCGAAAGCGUGGGGAGCGAACAGGAUUAGAUACCCGUGUAGUC
rnacentral:rRNA from 1 species